GUGUCAAAAAAUCGUCCAUACUUGACUAUAAUAGAAUCGUACAUACUGAUUUAUGAUAUUCGCAUCUGUCAUUAUAAAAACCGAAGUGUGAUGUAAGCUGUAAGUUGAGCCAAUAUUUUCGAUAGUGCAGGAACAGUGUAAGCUAUUGUCUUAAAUGGUUUCAUCCUUGACAGGUUUUUAAUAAUGAAAUUUUGUUUAAAAUAACGGGAAAAAAUCAUUGAUAAACUCGUUGUGCGUAUAUUAUAGUAAACAUCUAUAUAUAGGUCUAUAUUGGCUCAUAUCUUGGUUGGGUUGGCAUGUAAUCUUGCUUUUUAUCUUUAGAUUCCUUGGCACCGUAGGUUUAAUUCUCUGGCAGUAAUUAAAACACAUACGAAUAUUUGAUGAUAUAAAAUAGGUUUUUUUUCUGGUUUAGUAAUUCCGUAUAUCAUUAAUUCGGUUGCAGCAACCAGUUUAAAACGGUUGCCACACCAGUCGAUGUUCAUAAUCAAAACAAUUUUUUUUAAAGCCAACUUAUUGAACAGGGAAUUGAUUUAUGAUUUUUUAAACUGGUUAAGUUCCUCAACCGACACAGACGUGACUCAACUCAUAGUUUAAUAAUAAUAAUAAUAUAUAGAAAGAUUAAGAGCCUCGAGGGUACUGAAAAAGGAAGAGAACUUAUGAAAACAGGCAGUUCAAUCCCACGUGAUUUCGGUACACAAAUGUAAGAAGAAAAGCGCUUUGUCUUCCUAUUAUUCCUGCUGUCAUUGAUCCCGAAUGAGACGAUACACACAACUUCAUUGAAUUGUUCGUGCAGUUUGGCCGUAGUUCGCAAGCAUAAGGUUGCGACAUCGUUUUGUUACAGUAAAUCCAUCUAAAAAAAAUCACAAGGUUCUGUAAUUUUUACAAAAAGUUUCAAUAUUAAAUUUGAUAGAACGUUAAAUACUUCUCGGUUUAAGAAGUCUAAUCUACUUGAAAGCUGAAACAGGAUAUAUCUAUCCAUCUACUUUCGGAGUUGCGUAACCAACGAAACAAUGUCUUUUAAGUUUCAGUAAUGAAAUCACUUAUAAAUCGGCUUCUAUUAAAAAAAUAUUUGAAUACCAGAUUCGCUUUAAUUCUUACAAAAUUUACACCGAAUCUGUAUCGCUUUUCUCGUCACAAAAAAAAAAAAAUGAAAAAAAAAAAAACCACUCGAGAGAUAAGUUACAUCGAUGAAAUAAUUUUAUCGCCAGUUUACGUUCCCAGAACAUAACGAUUAGGAAUAAAUAUUUACGCCUACACACGAAAUUUCGAACGCAUCAUUCGGCACACCUUCAGUUAUUUAAUAUUUAAAACAUCUCUUCCGAAAUUCGAUGAGGUGCGAAACAAAAAAAAAAGAAAGUUCAAGUGUUGUAGAUGGGGAAAAUAAUUCGCACAUCGGAACGAUAGAUAAAAGUAUAUAUUUUAAAAUCCGAACGGGGUUAAAUCGCGACCUUUCUAUAUGCUAUCCGACAAAACAAAAAGUUCGUUACGCUCGACUUCAAGCAACACCGAAAAAUUCAGUCAAAACAACAGAUGUAAAACACGUUUUCUAAUGAUUCAACUUGUAAAAUUGUAUUCGAUAGACAGAUAAAGUCGCAAAAUUGCCCUAUUAAGAAGUAAUACAAACAAUUAUAAAUUUUUCGAUAUUAAUAACACGUGUUUGAGUAUUGUGAUUGCUGUACCUGAAAAUCAACUGUUCGCUACGAAAUAUUCAAGAAAAUUUAGUCUGUAAACACCGG
rnacentral:lncRNA from 1 species